GUCGGUUAUCCGUACUGUGCCUCACGAUAUACGGUGGUAAGCCGAAUAUCUUCCGGCCGGCCGUAGCCCGGUCGGUUAAUCAUGAAUGCGACCGAGGUCGCAUUGUGCGAUAGACGGUGGCAAGCCGAAUAUCCUUCGACCGGUCGUAGCUCGGUCGGGAGUCGCGACGGCGGUCGCGCAGGCAUUCUGCCUUUCUUUGGUCGGGGCUCGAUCGGCAUGUUAGCCGAUGGUCUGGCCCGAAAGUUCGACCGUAGAAGGAGUGUCAACUCCCGUCAAUAUAGAUGCAUCGGUCCUCGUA
rnacentral:lncRNA from 1 species